GUGAGGAAUUUUCCGCAAUGGGCGAAAGCCUGACGGAGCAAUGCCGCGUGAAGGAUGGAGGCCUAUGGGUUGUAAACUUCUUUUCUCAGAAAAGAAUUAUGACGGUAUCUGAGGAAUAAGCAUCGGCUAACUCUGUGCCAGCAGCCGCGGUAAGACAGAGGAUGCAAGCGUUAUCCGGAAUGAUUGGGCGUAAAGCGUCUGUAGGUUGUUUAAAAAGUAUUCUGUCAAAGAUUAGGGCUUAACCCUAGAUAGGCAGAAUAAACUUUUAAGCUAGAGUUUGGUAGAGGCAGAGGGAAUUCCCGGUGGAGCGGUGAAAUGCGUAGAUAUCGGGAGGAACACCAAAGGCGAAGGCACUCUGCUGGGCCAAUACUAACACUGAGAGACGAAAGCGAGGGGAGCAAAUGGGAUUAGAAACCCUUGUAGUCC
rnacentral:rRNA from 1 species